rnacentral:tRNA from 1 species
GGCUCAGAUGGUAAAGCAUCUGCCUGCAAUGCAGGAGACCUGGGUUCAAUCCCUG